UACGACUUAGCGGCGGACGGGUGAGUAACGCGUGGGUAACCUGCCUUACACUGGGGGAUAACAGUUAGAAAUGACUGCUAAUACCGCAUAAGCGCACAGGGCCGCAUGGUCUGGUGUGAAAAACUCCGGUGGUGUAAGAUGGACCCGCGUCUGAUUAGGUAGUUGGUGGGGUAACGGCCCACCAAGCCGACGAUCAGUAGCCGACCUGAGAGGGUGACCGGCCACAUUGGGACUGAGACACGGCCCAAACUCCUACGGGAGGCAGCAUG
rnacentral:rRNA from 1 species